rnacentral:tRNA from 1 species
CAUUAGAUGACUGAAAGCAAGUGUUGGUCUCUUAAACCAUUUUAUAGUAAAUAGCAACUACUUCUAAUG